rnacentral:rRNA from 1 species
UACGUAGGUCCCGAGCGUUGUCCGGAUUUAUUGGGCGUAAAGCGAGCGCAGGAGGUUUAUUAAGUCUGGUGUAAAAGGCAGUGGCUCAACCAUUGUAUGCAUUGGAAACUGUUAGACUUGAGUGCAGUAGAGGAGAGUGGAAUUCCAUGUGUAGCGGUGAAAUGCGUAGAUAUAUGGAGGAACACCUGAGGCGAAGGCGGCCAUCUGGCUGGUAACUGACGCUGAGGUGCGAGAGCGUGGGGAGCAAACAGG